CUGUUCACUUUAGCAGCAUAUAUACUAAAAUUGGAAUGAUGCAGAGAUCAGGAUGGCUCCUGUGCAAGGAUGACACGCAAAUUUGUGAAGUGUCCCAUAUAAAA
ensembl:snRNA U6 U6 spliceosomal RNA